AUCAUGAUGGGAGUGGGGCGACAUCACGGUCAAGUUCCAAAUACUAAAUGGGAAACCUCCCUUCUGAUAAGAAAUUAUAAUAUGCACCGUGAUAUCACACCUUGGCUAUCAAAGCAUUCCGUCAUGUCAAAAGGUUCAUAUCAAAAGCCUUCAAAGCAUCGGCAAAAGGAGGGAGUGAAAGCUCUCGGCAAAUCUCGAAGGGUACCAUACCAUAUUCUUUGAGCCAA
rnacentral:lncRNA from 1 species